rnacentral:tRNA from 1 species
UCUAAUAUAGUAUAUCAUAAUAUGUCAAAUUUAGAAUUUGAAGAUCUUUUUGUAUUAGAU